GAGUCUUGCUCUUUCGCCCAGGCUGGAGUGCAGUGGCCCGAUCUCAGCUCACUGCAAGCUCCGCCUCCUGGGUUCACGCCAUUCUCCUGCCUCAGCCUCCCGAGUAGCUGGGACUACAGGCGCCCGCCACCACGCCCGGCUAAUUUUUUCUAUUUUUAGUAGAGACGGGGUUUCACCGUGUUAGCUAGGAUGGUCUCGAUCUCCUGACCUCGUGAUCCGCCCGCCUCGGCCUCCCAAAGUGCUGGGAUUACAGGCGUGAGCCACCGCGCCCGGCCUAUCAUUAGUUCUUAUAGGUUUUGGGAUAGGCGGUGGAGUUAGGAGCAAUGUUUUGCGGGCAGGGGCUGGAUCUCACAAAGUACAUUCUCAAGGGUGGGGAGAAUUACAAAGAACCUUCUUAAGGGUGGGGGAGAUUACAAAGUACAUUGAUCAGUUAGGGUGGGGCAGAAACAAAUCACAAUGGUGGAAUGUCAUCAGUUAAGGCUAUUUUCACUUCUUUUGUGAAUCUUCAGUUGCUUCAGGCCAUCUGGAUGUAUACGUGCAGGUCACAGGGGAUAUGAUGGCUUAGCUUGGGCUCAGAGGCCUGACAAUUAUCUUGCCCAGGCUGUGAGCUCCUGGCCUCAAGCGAUCCACCUCCCUCGGCCUCUCAAAGUGCUGAGAUUACAGGUGUGAGCCACUGCACCCAGUUGCUCACUGUUAUUUGGCAACCAGAAUGUUCACUUUGAUGAUAACGUUAGUAUUUCUCCAUUAUUCCUGGUUUGAUUUUAUAUGUCUAAUGAUUAACAGUUCACAAAGUGCUUUCUUGUCUCAUUGGAAACACAAGUUUUUUCAUCUUCUCAGCUUCUAGUCAUUGUUCUAGUCUUCCUCUUGUGGGAAGGGGAAGAGGACUAAAAUGACUUCUCAAAUUCCUUGUGAGUGCUAUUAAAAUAACAGUAAGCUCUGUUGUAUAUCCAAGGUGAGGACCUUGCUCUUGGACUCCUUUUCCCCAGAGCCUUUAGGCUAUAAUCUCAGAAGUUCAUUCCUACUUCAGUUUUGCUCUCCAUUUUCCCUUUAUUCCAUUCCUGAUCAUGCCUUCCAGGUCAUGCUCUAUCAGGGAAUUCUGUUUCUGUCAAAAAGUAGAAGGAAUUUAGAACUUAGGGAUUAUUCUGCCCGAUGUGUUCAUUUUACAGAGGAGUUCACUGAGGCAGAGAGCCAACAAAUGUCAAUGUUAAACCCGCAAAUAAGUGGGAGAGCUGGGCUUGAACCUGAGACUACUCUUCUGCCAGAUGUCUUUUAAAGACAUCAAGCUGUCUUUAAAAGUUACCUGUCAAACGAAAUAUUCUCUCCAACAUAAUGUGUGCUUCUCUUAUAUAGCUAGCCUAUAAAUAUUUGGUUACUGUUGCAAUAGAGAUCUACCCAAUUUUAUAAUAUUUCACAGAUUAUAUUGUAUAUUUUCAAUUUUUCCAGAGGGUGCUUAUUCACCUAGUGUGAAUGGUCUGUGUUGGUCUUCGAAUCAACAAUCAUUUAUGGAGCAUCUACUAUGUGCCAAGCAUAAUACUGGCAUUGGGGACAUGAGAACCAAUGCCCUUCCACUCUCCCCGUGGUGGGUUUUGGUCUGAUUUUAACUGGAAGUAUUAUUUGGAUUUGCGUAGGCUCAUUCAACAUUGGAUCAUUAGUAACUCUUUGGAUUUAUUGUAAAUGGUCCUGCAAAUGUGAGAAAAUUAGUAACAAGAAUUGAACUCUAACAAGGUGUUCAAAUGCUGACGUUAAAGCCUUUACCUAGGCAGGCGUGGUGGCUCACACUUGUAAUCCUAGCACUUUGGAAAGCUGAGGCGGGCAGGGCGCUUGAGGCCAGGAGUUCGAGACCAGCCUGGGCAAAAUGGUGAAACCCCGUCUUUAAAAAAAUACAAAAAGUAGCCAGAUAUGGUGGCGCACAACUAUAGUACCAGCUACAUGGGAGGCUGAGGUGGGAGGAUGGUUUGACCCUAAGUGGCGGAGGUUGCAGUGAGCCGAAAUAGUGCCACUACACUCCAGCCUGGGUGGCAGAGCAGGACACUGUCUCAAAAAUAAAUACAUAAAUAAAGCCUUUACCUGUGCAUUUAGGAUUUUUUGCACUGCAGAGGACCCAAUAACCUUUAUCUAUGUAUCAUCUGUCUGUCUGUCUAUCUAUCUAAUCUAUAGAGAAGGUCUCACUCUGUCACUCAGGGUGGUGCGAUCAUAGUUCACCGCAGCCUCCAACUCCUGCGCUCAAGCGACCCUCCCGCCUCAGCCUCCUGAGUAGCUGAGACCACAGACACUGGCCACCAUCCGCCUUGGCCUCCAAAAGUGCUGGGAUUACAGGCGUGAACCACCCAGCCAAGAGCCACUAUUUAAAUGUCGCCAAGUGUGGUUUAAAAAGUUUCCCAAUUUUGAGGGGGGCAAGGGUUGAAAAACUAUUAGGUACUAUGUUCAGCACCGAAGUGACGAGAUGAUUCGUACCCUGAACCUUAGCAUCACACAAUAUACCCAGGUCACAUCUGCACAUGUAGCCCCUGAAUCUAAAAUAAAAGUUGAAACUAUAAAAAAAAAAAGUCUCCCAAAUUUGUUACAAAAAUGCCAAAGAAGGUUAAUCUCGGGUAAUCGAAUUCCGUUUCCUGGUGUUUUCCUUUAUUCUUUUUUUCUUCCAGCCGGCUCCACCUCCAGAGAGGCCCAACAGGGGGCUCGCGCGGUCGUUUGGGCUCGGCUGCCGUAGAAGCCGGGCGCACUGGGCCGGAGCUGCCCCGCCGGGGUUGGGUCGUGGCUGCCAGGGCGCGUCGCCAGGAGGCCUCGCGGGCCGCCCUUCCGCUCUCCCGGGGCUGGGCGGCGCUGUCCGGCUCUUCCUGCCGCGCUCUGGCCACUCCCCCUCGCCCCUCGCUCGGCUUGGCCUUGGCGGCCGUGCUCUGCAGGCAGUGCCUCCCUCGGGCGUGGGUCUGCAGGAGAGCCGGACAGGGCAGCGGCCGGCACUACCGCGCCGCGAUUUGCGCAGAGCUGAAGAAGCCCCUGACCAUUGAAGAGGUGGCCCCCGCCCCGUCGGGCCUCACGAGGUCAGAGUUGAUGUCCAUUUCUGUGGAGUUAACUUUGGUGAUAUUUUGAUCUGCCAUGAUCAAUAUCAGGAAAGGCCCCAUCUUCCCUUCAUACCUGGAAUGGAGUUUUCUGGGACAGUAUUGGAGACAGGCACAGAUGUCAGGACAGUUAAAGAGGGAGAUAGAGUUAUUGGCACAAGAAACUUUAAUUGUAUGGCUGAAGAAUGCGUCAUUGACCAGAAGGACCUGUGGCAGAUUCCAGAAACGGUCUCCCUAUAAGAAGCUGCUGUCCUCCCUAUAACUUAUGGCACUGCGAUUUUUGCUCUUGAGCACUGGGCCCGUACCCAGCCUGGGUAAUAUAGCUGCUGCUGGAAGUGACGAGAAGUGCAAGCUGGCGAUGCAGAGGGGUGCGCAGUCCAGCGUGAACUACAGUCAGGGCAGCCUGAAGGAUGCAGUGAGGAAGCUGGUGGGCGAGGGCGGGGUGAAUGUGGCCAUCGACAUGGUGGGAGGAGACAUCUGCCUGGAGGCUCUCCGCAGCCUGGCAUGGGAGGGCAGGAUUGUGGUGGUGGGAUUUGCUGGAGGAAACAUUGCUUCUGAACCAGCCAACCUUCUGCUCCUGAAGAAUAUCUCUGCUAUGGGCCUGUACUGUGGUCAAUACAAAGAUAUGAACUUUCCCAUCUUCUCCAAGAGCCUAUCUUCAGUGCUUCAGUACUGCCAGCAAGGGUGCAUCCAGCUAUAUGUCGGAAUGGUUUUCAAGCUGGACGAGGAAGAUAAAAUAACUGCACAACUUACUCAAAACCCAGGACAAAUUCAGAGAGUCAAGGAUGGAACUUUGGGCUCCCCAGAGGCUGCCCCAGACACGAGGGAAGGCCACAGCACCCUCAAAGGAUCCAGACCGAGGGUUUCGGAGAGAUGGACAUCAUUGGCCUGUCCCUCACUCUUGGCACAAUGGAGAGAGGUUUCACCAAUGGCAAGACAACCGUGGGAGCCCCCAGCCACAACAGGAGCCCAGGGCAGACCAUCAGCAGCCCCAUUAUGCAUCCAGGCCAGGGGACUGGCAUCAGCCUGUGUCCGGAGUUGACUAUUACGAAGGUGGUUAUCCCAAUCAGUUGUAUUCAAGGCCAGGUUAUGAGAAUUCAUAUCAGAGCUAUCAGUCUCCCACAAUGAGGGAGGAAUAUGCUUAUGGAAGUUAUUACUAUCAUGGACACCCACAGUGGCUGCAGGAAGAAAGAGUGCCAAGGCAACAGAGUCCUUAUAUCUGGCAUGAAGAUUACCGAGAGCAAAAGUACCUUGAUGAACAUCAUUAUGAAAACCAGCACAGUCCAUUUGGAACAAAUAGUGAGACCUACUUCCAAUCUAACAGUAGGAACCCUUGUAAAGACAGCCCUGCUUCCAACUCUGGACAGGAGUGGCCGGGGGAGCUGUUUCCAGGGAGCCUGCUUGCUGAGGCCCAGAAAAAUAAGCCAUCAUUGGCUAGUGAGUCCAACCUUCUCCAGCAGCGUGAGUCUGGUCUCAGCUCCAGCAGCUAUGAGCUCAGUCAAUACAUCAGAGAUGCCCCGGAGCGGGAUGAUCCCCCAGCUUCAGCAGCUUGGAGUCCAGUUCAGGCUGAGGAUGUCUCCUCAGCUGGUCCCAAAGCACCCAUGAAGUUCUACAUCCCUCAUGUUCCUGUGAGUUUCGGGCCAGGAGGUCAGCUGGUGCGUGUAGGUCCCAGCUCUCCCACUGACGGGCAAGCAGCCCUUGUUGAACUGCACAGCAUGGAGGUUAUUCUUAAUGAUUCCGAAGAGCAAGAGGAGAUGAGAAGUUUCUCAGGACCCUUGAUUAGGGAAGAUGUACAUAAGGUGGAUAUUAUGACGUUUUGCCAGCAGAAAGCAGCUCAGAGCUGCAAAUCUGAGACACUGGGGAGCAGAGACUCAGCUCUACUGUGGCAGCUCUUGGUUCUCCUUUGUCGCCAGAAUGGGUCCAUGGUGGGGUCUGACAUCGCUGAGCUGCUAAUGCAAGACUGCAAGAAGCUGGAGAAGUACAAGCGGCAGCCCCCUGUGGCCAACCUCAUCAGCCUGACCGAUGAGGACUGGCCAGUGCUGAGCUCUGGGACCCCGAACCUGCUCACGGGAGAGAUCCCCCCCAGUGUGGAGACACCUGCGCAGAUCGUGGAGAAAUUCACUAGGCUGCUCUACUAUGGAAGGAAGAAGGCAACCUUGGAGUGGGCCAUGAAGAACCACUUGUGGGGUCAUGCUUUGUUCCUGUCCAGCAAGAUGGACCCAUGGACCUACAGCUGGGUCAUGAGUGGCUUCACCAGCACGCUGGCGCUCAAUGACCCACUGCAGACCCUCUUCCAGCUCAUGUCGGGGAGGAUUCCACAGGCAGCCACGUGUUGUGGAGAAAAGCAGUGGGGAGACUGGAGGCCUCACCUGGCUGUGAUUCUGUCGAAUCAGGCUGGGGACCCAGAGCUGUAUCAGCGUGCGAUUGUUGCCAUUGGGGACACCCUGGCUGGGAAGGGGCUUGUGGAGGCAGCUCACUUCUGCUACCUCGUGGCUCACGUGCCCUUUGGCCACUACACCGUGAAGACAGACCAUCUGGUCUUGCUGGGCAGCAGCCACAGUCAAGAGUUUUUGAAAUUUGCAACAACUGAGGCAAUCCAGAGGACGGAAAUCUUCGAGUACUGUCAGAUGCUGGGCCGCCCCAAAUCCUUCAUCCCUUCUUUCCAGGUGUAUAAGCUCCUUUAUGCUUCCCGUCUGGCAGAUUAUGGCCUCGUGUCUCAGGCUUUGCAUUACUGCGAAGCCAUUGGUGCAGCUGUCUUGAGCCAGGGAGAGAGCAGUCACCCUGUGCUAUUAGUGGAACUCAUCAAGCUAGCAGAGAAACUGAAGCUGUCAGAUCCUCUGGUUUUAGAAAGACGCAGUGGAGACAGGGACCUGGAGCCAGAUUGGCUAGUGCAACUUCGGAGGCAGCUGGAGCAAAAGGUAGCAGGAGACAUUGGGGAUCCUCAUCCUACUCGCUCAGAUAUUUCGGGAGCCAGAGGAACAACAACAGAAAACACUUUCUACCAGGACUUUUCUGGAUGUCAAGGCUACUCUGAAGCCCCUGGGUACCGCUCAGCUCUGUGGCUGACACCUGAGCAGACCUGCCUGCUCCAGCCCAGCCCACAGCAGCCCUUUCCCCUCCAGCUGGGCUCCUACCCAGCAGGAGGGGGUGCAGGGCAGACAGGGACACCGAGGCCUUUUUACUCAGUUCCUGAGACCCAUCUACCAGGGACUGGCAGCAGCGUGGCAGUGACAGAGGCCACUGGAGGAACAGUCUGGGAGGAAACGCUGCAGACACACCUGGGCCCUGGAGAGAACACAGUGUCUCAAGAAACUUCCCAGCCUCCUGAUGGCCAAGAGGUCAUUUCCAAACCACAGACACCAUUGGCUGCUAGAGCACGAAGUAUUUCUGAGAGUUCCACCAAUUCAGCCAAGGAGGAUGAGAAGGAGUCCUCUGAUGAGACUGAUAAAAACUCUCCCCGAAAUACUGCCCAGAGAGGCAAGCUCGGAGAUGGGAAGGAGCAUACAAAGAGCUCAGGGUUUGGCUGGUUCAGCUGGUUUCGAUCGAAGCCCACCAAGAACGCAUCCCCCUCUGGAGACGAGGACUCCUCAGACAGCCCUGACUCUGAGCAGGAGACCCCCAGAGCAUCUUCUCCCCACCAGGCUGGCCUGGGCCUCUCACUGACACCUUCCCCUGAGUCCCCACCUCUGCCGGAUGUUAGUGCCUUCUCCAGGGGCACAGGUGGGGGUGAAGGCCGAGGAUCCGCAUCCAGCGGGGGAGCAGCUGCGGGCGCUGGGGUUGGAGGCUUGUCUGGACCGGAGGCCUCGACAUUCUGGAAUCUGGGAGGCAGGCACUGAUGGGAUUUUCCAUGCUUUUCCAUCACAGAGUGUUUCCUUUGAGCUCUGCUCCAACCCUGGUGUUCUUCUUCCUCCACCUGCCUUAAAAGGGGCUGUUCCUCUUUACAACCCAUCUCAGGUGCCUCAGCUGCCCACGGCCACUAGCCUGAAUCGGCCAAAUCGCCUAGCUCAGCGUCGCUAUCCCACCCAGCCAUGCUGAGAAUAAACACACGUCCCAGGCUCAUCUCCCAGGACUGAAACUUUUCUUGCUCUCUUUUUCUCAAUCUCCCAGCCCCUCUCUACCAUAUUGGGACCCUCAAGAGGUUUGUGCUAGCCCGAUGCCUCCACCGGGCACUUAGAAGGCAAGAGGACAGGAUCUCUCAAGACACAGCACAAUUCAGUCUCUUAAGAUUAGCUUCACAAUGAUGGAAAUUAUUUCAUCAGGUGGAAAGUCUGGGUCUAAUAGCAGACUGCACAUGAGCAGAGUGACAUGGUGGUGGCACUUAUGGUGGUGGCUUGAGACCUUGGGGAAAUUAGGGCCCUAACAGCUAGAAUCAAAGAUGAUACCGCAGGGCCCUGUAGCAAGAAAUGGGAAGCAGGGGGAGGGGCAGGGGCUCAGAACAAUAUUCUAGACCAACUUUGACUACUUCCUGUCUUAGUAAUAGACCAAUACAUGGCUCUAUUUAGCAAAGUUUUUAUACUGAAACUUGAUUAUUGCUGCCCUUUAUAAUUUCCUCUUCAAUGAUAUUUCAGCAGUUUCCCUCUUGGUCCUAGUUUUGUGCACAUUUUUUUGAAUGUGGUUCAGAUUAAUUAUAUUUCUCUCACUUUCUUAGCUGGUCCUAUUUUUUCACAUUCUGGCAUGUGGCUAUCAAGUUAGAUUGCUGUAGGCAUCAUAUUGUCAUGGUAACUACUGAACCUAAUGAUGCAGAUGGAUGGCACAUCAGUAUAAUAAAUGAUGGAAAACGGUUCCUAAAAAUUCAUCCCUUUCAUAAGAGGGGAAGAAUGAGUGCCUGAUAUUGUUCAUACCUCCCUUUCUACCUCAGGCCUUUGCAAAUUGAUGUUCAGAGGGUCACUGGAGUGAGAGGGAGGAGGGGGGCGUCUUGGAAAUUUCCAUUUCUCUUUUCAAACCCAAAAUAGGAAUGACUCUUGCUGUUUGUCAGAUUUGCUGAAAAUUGCUCCUCACAAAGAACAUUUUUUUUGUACAUGUAAUUGUAAAUACAGGUUUAGUACAUUAAUGUUCUAUAGUUCUGAUGUUGAUAAUAAUUAAACCCAGAUAAUUUUAUAGCAAA